CCUACGGGAGGCAGCAGUAGGGAAUCUUCCACAAUGGGCGAAAGCCUGAUGGAGCAACGCCGCGUGAGUGAUGAAGGCCUUCGGGUUGUAAAACUCUGUCAUUCGGGACGAACCGGAGUCUGAGGAAAUGCAGACUCUCUGACGGUACCGGAGGAGGAAGCCCCGGCUAACUACGUGCCAGCAGCCGCGGUAAUACGUAGGGGGCAAGCGUUGUCCGGAUUCACUGGGCGUAAAGCGCGCGCAGGCGGUGAUGUAAGUCUGAGGUGAAAACCCGAAGCUCAACUUCGGGACUGCCUUGGAUACUGCGUCACUUGAGGAUAGGAGAGGCAAGGGGAAUUCCACGUGUAGCGGUGAAAUGCGUAGAGAUGUGGAGGAACACCUGUGGCGAAGGCGCCUUGCUGGCCUAUUUCUGACGCUGAGGCGCGAAAGCGUGGGGAGCAAACAGGAUUAGAUACCCUGGUAGUCCACGCUGUAAACGAUGAGUGCUAGGUGUAGGUGGGCUCAUACCCAUCUGUGCCGAAGCUAACGCAUUAAGCNCUUCGCGUGGGUUAGGUUACGGUCGCGAGACGAGAACGUUAAGUUAGAGUUAGACGGCGUUGAGACGUUGCCGACGGACGACGACGAGGGAGUAGG
rnacentral:rRNA from 1 species